UACGUAGGGGGCAAGCGUUGUCCGGAUUUACUGGGCGUAAAGAGCUCGUAGGCGGCUUGUCACGUCGAUUGUGAAAGCCCGAGGCUUAACCUCGGGUCUGCAGUCGAUACGGGCUAGCUAGAGUGUGGUAGGGGAGAUCGGAAUUCCUGGUGUAGCGGUGAAAUGCGCAGAUAUCAGGAGGAACACCGGUGGCGAAGGCGGAUCUCUGGGCCAUUACUGACGCUGAGGAGCGAAAGCGUGGGGAGCGAACAGG
rnacentral:rRNA from 1 species